GCCCGAAUAGCUCAGUCGGUAGAGCAGUAGACUGAAAAUCUAUGUGUCGCUGGUUCGAUUCCGGCUUCGGGCA
rnacentral:tRNA from 1 species